AUGUAUUGUAAGCCUGGUCUCCCAAGUUUAUUAAAAGAGCAGCUUGAUCACAUACCUUCUUUGUGCUCCCCUACAGCAGGAUGCCCAAUCUCUGGCUUGUCAGCCUCCAACCCUGGGACAACUCAAGGGCUUCAUUUCCCUGUCUCUGCCACUCAGAGGAGAGAAGCUCAGACAAUUCUACAGUCACUUCCUGAGUGGCACUAGGAUGAAUUCCAGCAUCUGCCUUCCUGGACCCAGUACCACAUCCCUCUUCCUCUCCAGUGACGACCUUUCAGACUUUUCACCGAAGAGUCUCAGGGGGUUCACUAUACCCAUGACUCCUGAAGACAGCCAUGCUCAGUGAUUCCAAGGUGAUUCCCUGUUCUGCUCUGCGAUGGCCGUGGCUGACAACUUCUUCUUAAAGAGGACUAAAGCAUCCUUUGUCAUCCCUAGUGGGACAUCUCCCUGGUUAAGAAAGCAUCUUGUUAUGUAAGAAACCCAAGAGGGGGAGAGCAGAGGACUCAGUGAUGCUUCAUAGAUUUCUCACUGGGGGGUCAACUUAGAGACUGAUUCAAAGCUGGCAGGAAUAAGAAUAAAUUAAUGGCUUCUGUGGGGAGUGAGUAAGGC
rnacentral:lncRNA from 1 species